GGAUGUGAGGGCGAUCUGGCUGCAACAUCUGUCACCCCAUUGAUCGCCAGGGUUGAUUCGGCUGAUCUGGCUGGCUAGGCGGAUGUCCCCUUCCUCCCUCGCCGCUCCAUGUGCAUCCCUCCCGAAGCUGCGCACUUGGUGGAAGAGGUCGACUAUCCCCGAUAGAGGAGUGUCCUUCUCGGUCAAGGGUAUAUGAGUAGCUGCACUCCCCUGCUAGAACCUCCACACAAGCUCUCAAAGUGAAAAUUGAGUAAAAAAUCAGGUAAAUAAUUUUGCCCCCAAACAUAGGCUUAGAAAUAAUAUUAUUGA
rnacentral:snRNA from 1 species